AUAUAAUAUUUAUAUAACCAAAUAUUAUAUGUAAUGUGUGUGUGUGUAUAUAUAUAUAUAUAUAUAUAUAUAUAUACACACAUAUAUAUAUAUACAUGUAAUAUUUGGUGUUAUAAAUUCCACAGGUUUUCAUAUUGUAGAUAAAAAGUUUAUUGUAAUACCAAGGAAGUUAUUUCUCUAAAAUUUUAACUUUCUCUGAAUUUUGUUCUAUAGUAUUUUAAUCGGGAUCCUACUCUGUAUUAAUGAACCCCUAAAAAAAUAGAAAUAAGGAAUUUUUACCACUAGGUGGUGUUAAACAUAGUCAUUCAAAAACAAUGAAGUACAGCAUUCCAACAUUAAAAUUUAAGGCACUGGGUGUGAAAUGAUGGGAUUUGUAAGCAGUGGGUCUUAAAAUAUUUGGUGUCCCUAAGAAUCUCCUUGAGUGAUUGUUUAAAAUAUAGGUAUACUGAUUUGGCAGUUUUUCAAUAAGCCCCCUAAGUGAUCUUGAUAGGGUAGUCAUUGGUAUUCACUUUGCAUUAUAUUGGCCUAAAGAGAUUACAUGUGGUUGGACUAUUAAAAAAGAUACUGAAAAUUUGUUUCUAAGUCUUUCUACCUAAGACAUCUUUUAGGAUUAAGUAUAAGCAUUUUCCUCAAUUUAUUAUCAGGAAAUAUGAAUUGUAUUAAGAAGUUGAAAAACCCAAAUAGUCUUACAAAUAACAAAAUAACAAGCAGGUUUCUUCAUGUUAGUAAAUAUUUUUUGGUGUUUGUAAAGAAUGAUAAUUAUUUGCUUUAUGUAAUUUAAGUUUUUAUUUACAUUUAUUUUUAACUGAAUUAUGUAAAUAAGUUAUCACCAAAGAUUGUGAAAGCAAAUACAUGUUCUUUUAAGUGAGCAUAAAGUGUAAUUAUCAUCAGUGUAAAAAAAUUUGAAAAAUAGAAUAAUUAAGAGGGUACAGAAAUUCAUCUAUAUGUAAGUGACUAUUAUAGUCUUAAAGUGAACCCUCUUGCAAAAUGAAUGCUUUUUGGUGUACACAAAAAUUCUAUUAGUAUAUAGGUGCAUUUUAACUUUCAGUAAGUCUACUCUGAUAAAUCAGGGCAAGAAUAAAUGAAAUACUUAAAUAGCUUUUGAAAUUCUAUUAUAUAUAAAAGCAGAAAUCAUUUUGGUAUAAUAAUGUAUAUGGACAUAGGAGAAUUUGGUAGUCAUCCUUCCCCAUUACUUCUAUAUUCUCUUACCUCCUACAUCCUCCUCAAUCCCCUUCCUUUAUUAUUCUCCAUUUUAUUUUUUAAAUAUUUUAUUCUUUUUAGUCAUAUAUGGCAAUAUAAUUCAUUUUGACAUACUUAUAAAAGCAUGAAAUAUAAUUUCUUCUAAUUCAGUCCCUAGAACCUCUCCUUCCCCUCUGUUCCUCCAACCCCUUGUUUCCCUUCUCUCUAUUCUACUAAUUAUUCUGCUUAAGCAGCCUUUUUACCAAGAGGUAUAGUACACACAGACACUAUUUCUAUUAGUUGUUUUUACUUAUGAUUUUAGUGAAGAGGGAAAACAUAAAUGUCAUUCUUUUUAGAUAAGGAGUUCUGUUUUGCUAUCUGAAUUCUAAUAAAUGGAUUGCAUUAUUUCCUUUUCUAGAAACAGUAACUCAAGAGCACAUGGAUCUUGGGAACUGAAGGUAUGGUAUUGCCAGGUGAUGAGAUAGAAAUACUUAGUUAAAAUAUGAAGUUGCAGUUCAUUCAUUACAAUGAUCAGCCUUCAAAUUGAGCAAAUAUGUGGAGCUGCAUGUAUUUGUCCUCAGAAAAUGUAGCUCCACUAUGCUUUGAGAAAUCUACUAGGCCAUGAGAAUCCAUUUGAGUGGUUAUCAUAGAAAAAAAUGAGUUCUAUGAUUGUCAUAUAUGAAUUUAAAGCAGUAUGUAGAUGUCAGUGUUUAUGUGAGCUAGCUAACCUGCAAACAUAGAACUAUCCUAUCUGGCCAUACUAAUGCAGAAGUGGU
rnacentral:lncRNA from 1 species